ensembl:lncRNA
CGGCCCCGUAGUCACGUGAUGCGCGCUGUGCACGCGCCUGACCGCGCGGAGUUCGCUCUGGGGUGCUUCAGCAGUGUGCCAGUGAAUCCUCGGGACAAGGCGCCAAAGUGUCCACCCACCCCACUUGGAAGGGCUGGGCAAAGGUUGCACGUGGCUCGUCAAGCCGGCCUUGCCUCGGAAACUCCACCAGUGAUGCGGCUGCCCACGGUGGCCUGCUCUGGGUGCUUAGGGUUAAACCAAGUGGUCCUGCGCGACGAGAAAGAAGUUGAGAUUUGGAGGCAAGCCUUAUUCAGAGGCCGGUCUUUUCUCAUGCAUAGCAGGACAAUGAAGAAAGAGCAGCCCUCCCCACCGUUCCAGGUUAGACAUUUACUCUCAAGCUUAGACUCAUCUUCCUCUCUUCCUUCUUUGCUCUGACAAACCUGGAGCGCCGACAGGUCGCCACACACUUUUUAAGGGGAGAGAGAGAGCACGGAGCUCGGGUGCCAGCAAGGGAGCCAGACACACGCAGAGAAGGACUAUGUCGGGUUGUGUUUGUCACUGAGUGACCACCCCUAGGGUGGGCGGCCACAAAGGGAGGAGACCUUUGAACAAUGACUUCAUACACAAGCAGCCCUGAGAGGAUAGGGUCAGAGACCACCAGGAAAAGCCACUGGAGUCAGUUCCGCUCCCCAGUGCUCGGCCUGCGUUCGGUUAGAAGGACCCGUCCAUCCACUGUGGCAGAGAAGCGCCAGGCCUGGCUUUUGGAGCUGAGUCCCCAGCCUCCCUACCUGUUUUCAAUGAGAUGGAAAUCAGGUGCACGUUGCCCAGCUUCUCACGUGACCUCUCUCUAAAUAAGCAGUAAGCAACUGCAAAACUCAGAAUGCUAAUAAUGGCCUAUAUUGAGUGAAAAGAGCUAAUUUGGGCAAUGAUGUUUCCCUCGGAUUUACAAAAGGGAAUUGCAAAUAACCAAACAGUAAUAGCACUGAUGGGAGAUGAUGCUAAACUUCAAUCAGCACCCGCGUUAGUUAUUCACAUAUUUAGAAGGGAACCUUUUCGACACAGUGGCUGCGCACACGCGUUACGGUGACAGGGUAUGAACAUGGUGGUCAUCCUUGAGGUGUGACAGCCCCAGAAGGAUCUGCAGGAGCUACUGUAGACCAGGUCAUUUCAGGCCUGCUGAGGAGAACAGUGCUCUCCUCAGCCUGGAAGGCCCAACAGUAGUGGAGGACACUACUGUGAUUUGGGCCUAAAGUUUCAUUCAGAGGUGGAAACAAACGGAAGGAAAUUCAGCCACAGGGCACCGCUGCUCCUGAAGAAAUGAAUGUUUUCCUCCCAGAACUGAAUUACUGGUGUGCUGGGACUGGCAAAGGUCUGGAUUAUUUAUCAUGAGAGUAGGUUGUUCUGCCAAUUUGGUUUCCUUGGCUUCCUCUCACUAUGUGACUUUUAUUGCAGACCAUGGAGGCCUGCUAAAGGAUGCUGCCCUCUGUGUGGUGAUGUACCCAAAUUUACCGUCAGCAAAGACCGAGCAGAUGGGGCUAUCUAGUCGUGGACUUCAACACUCCCAAACUGUAAGCUGUAUAAGCCUCUCUUCUGUAUAGACAGAUUCCAGCCUCAGAAAACAGAUAAUGGGUGCAUGGAGGAGACAGAAUGGAUGUGGUAUGAGACUGGAGGAGAGGUCACAUGAAGGAACCCCUUCCGGGGAGAAUCAAGUGGAUCAUGACUUCACAGGAAGUCCCAUUCUCCCAGGACAUAGGCACUAAAGCAGAGAAGUGCGGGUGUUGUCCAGGACUGGCUCUGCCAGCUAUCUUGGAGCUAC